UCCCUCUUAAUGGUUAUUAAGUUUCUGUUUCAGUUGUUGUAUUCAUUGCUUACUGGGCUUUUUAUACUUCAGAAAGCUAGGCAGCUGUUUAUAAAUCUGUCGAUAAACAACAGUUGCCGAAGGAUGAUAUUCUAAGAAAUGAGCUUCCCGAAGAUGCUGCCCAAGUGACAUUGAAAUUGAUGAACGUGUAUACCUUUGGCCUCUACGGCAUCCCAUGAAGUAGAUAAACAAGUUAAAAGACAAGAAAAAUGAACGAGAACAAUUGUUGGAUGAUGGUAGUGAGAUUAAGCCCAGACUUAGAACACGGGAAGAAAUCAUUGCUAAAUGCAGAAAAUCACGGUGGAGCAUUCUUAUCAAUAUCGCUGCUUGAUCUCUCUCUCUAUAUAUAUAUAUAACUACAGCCUGAAAAACACGAUGUCCGAAGUUUCUGAUUGCUGCAGAAUUAAGCCA